CCUACGGGAGACAGCAGUGAGGAAUAUUGGUCAAUGGUCGGGAGACUGAACCAGCCAAGCCGCGUGAGGGAUGAAGGUACAGAGUAUCGUAAACCUCUUUUGUCAGGGAACAAAGGCGGGGACGCGUCCCCGGAUGAGUGUACCUGAAGAAAAAGCAUCGGCUAACUCCGUGCCAGCAGCCGCGGUAAUACGGAGGAUGCGAGCGUUAUCCGGAUUUAUUGGGUUAAAAGGGUGCGCAGGCGGUCUGUUAAGUCAGCGGUCAAAGCCCGGGGCUCAACCCCGGCCCGCCGUUGAAACUGGCAGUCGCGAGUUGGAGAGAAGUAUGCGGAAUGCGCGGUGUAGCGGUGAAAUGCGUAGAUAUCGCGCAGAACUCCGAUUGCGAAGGCAGCAUGCCGGCUCCACACUGACGCUGAGGCACGAAAGCGUGGGUAUCGAACAGGAUUAGAUACCCUUGUAGUC
rnacentral:rRNA from 1 species